CCGGCGACCGGCGCACGGGUGAGUAACACGUAUGCAACCUGCCCUCUUCAGGGGGACAACCUUCCGAAAGGGAGGCUAAUCCCGCGUAUAUCGGUUUCGGGCAUCCGAGAUCGAGGAAAGAUUCAUCGGAAGAGGAUGGGCAUGCGGCGCAUUAGCUAGACGGCGGGGUAACGGCCCACCGUGGCGACGAUGCGUAGGGGUUCUGAGAGGGAGGUCCCCCACACUGGUACUGAGACACGGACCAGACUCCUACGGGAGGCAGCAG
rnacentral:rRNA from 1 species